rnacentral:rRNA from 1 species
UACGUAGGCAGCAAGCGUUGUUCGGAGUUACUGGGCGUAAAGGGUGCGUAGGCGGCUAUUUAAGUUUGGUGUGAAAUCUCCCGGCUCAACUGGGAGGGUGCGCCGAAUACUGAGUGGCUAGAGUGCGGGAGAGGAAAGGUGGAAUUCCUGGUGUAGCGGUGAAAUGCGUAGAUAUCAGGAGGAACACCGGUGGUGUAAACGGCUUUCUGGACCGUAACUGACGCUGAGGCACGAAAGCGUGGGUAGCAAACAGG